AGUGAACGCUGGCGGUAGGCCUAACACAUGCAAGUCGAACGGCAGCACAGUAAGAGCUUGCUCUUACGGGUGGCGAGUGGCGGACGGGUGAGGAAUACAUCGGAAUCUACUUUUUCGUGGGGGAUAACGUAGGGAAACUUACGCUAAUACCGCAUACGACCUACGGGUGAAAGCAGGGGAUCUUCGGACCUUGCGCGAUUGAAUGAGCCGAUGUCGGAUUAGCUAGUUGGCGGGGUAAGGGCCCACCAAGGCGACGAUCCGUAGCCGGUCUGAGAGGAUGGUCGGCCACACUGGAACUGAGACACGGUCCAGACUCCUACGGGAGGCAGCAGUGGGGAAUAUUGGACAAUGGGCGCAAGCCUGGUCCAGCCAUACCGCGUGGGUGAAGAAGGCCUUCGGGUUGUAAAGCCCUUUUGUUGGGAAAGAAAAGCAGCAGGUUAAUACCCCGCUGUUCUGACGGUACCCAAAGAAUAAGCACCGGCUAACUUCGUG
rnacentral:rRNA from 1 species